CAGAGUUGAUCCUGGCUCAGGAUGAACGCUAGCUACAGGCUUAACACAUGCAAGUCGAGGGGAAACGACAUCGAAAGCUUGCUUUUGAUGGGCGUCGACCGGCGCACGGGUGAGUAACGCGUAUCCAACCUGCCCACCACUUGGGGAUAACCUUGCGAAAGUAAGACUAAUACCCAAUGACGUCUCUAGAAGACAUCUGAAAGAGAUUAAAGAUUUAUCGGUGAUGGAUGGGGAUGCGUCUGAUUAGCUUGUUGGCGGGGUAACGGCCACAAGGCGACGAUCAGUAGGGGUUCUGAGAGGAAGGUCCCCCANAUUGGAACUGAGACACGGUCCAAACUCCGUACGGGAGGCA
rnacentral:rRNA from 1 species